rnacentral:rRNA from 1 species
AAGUAAAUCAAUAAACUAAUUCGUAAGCAGGAGCACGAAUUAGCCAUUUUCGACAUGGAGAUGCAGUGACGAGAAUUAACAAUGCAGGAAUCUUUCGAGGCCCUGCAAUUGGAAUGAGCACAUCCCAAACCCAUGGGCAAGAACCCAUUAAAGGGCAAGUCUGCUGCCAGAAGCCACGGUAAUUGCAGCUCCAAUAGCGUAUGCUAACGCUUCUGCAGUUAAAAAGCUUGCAGUUGGAUCUCAGGGACUGGCCUGCGUGGACCGGCGUAAGGGGAGAAACCACCGGUCCUAGACAAGCAGGCCUCCAUGUGGCCCCCGAAUGCCCUGUUCAAAGCAGGGCCAGCACCCUGCCCCAUUGAAUACCACAUCUAGGAAUAAUGGAAUAGGACCCCAGUUCUACUUCCUGUGCGUUUACGGAAUCGAUGAUCGAGAGGGACGCCCGGGGGCAUUCAUAUUGCACCCCCAGAGGUAAAAUCCUUGGACGGACGCUAGACAGACCGGAGCGAAAGCGUUUGCCAAGAACGUUUUUUAUUAAUGAAGAAUGAAAGUCAAAGGUUCGAAGUCAAUCAGAUACCAUCAGAGUUCUGAUCCUGGGGCUCCUGGGGGAGUAUAGUCGCAAAGCUCAAACCUAAAGGAAUUGAAGGGCACCACCAGGAGUAGAGCCUGGGGUUAAAUUGGACUCUGGGAACCUCACCCCGCGCAGACACAGAAAAGAUUGACAGAUUGAUGGCUCUUUCUCGAUUCUGUGGGUGGUGGUGCAUGGCCGUUCGUUGGUGGAGCGAUUUUGUAUGGCUGAUUCAGAUAACGAAUGAGACUCCGGUAUGCUAAAUAGUUGCACAGUUGACAUUGGCAACUUCUUAGCGAUUAACCACGCAAGACUGAAAAUAACAGGUCACGUCCUUAGAUGUCCGGGGCUGCACAUGCACCACAAUGGACAGAUUAACGUGUGCCUACCCUGCACUGGCUAGUGCGGCUAACCCGUUGAAGCCCCUUGUGAUGGGAACUGGUGAUAGAAACUGUUUCCCAGUAACCACAGGUCAAAGUCAUCAGCUUGUGUUGAUUAAGUCUGAGUACUUUGAACACACCACCCAUCGCUACUACAGAUUAAGCAGCUCAGGGAGAACCUCUGGGAUUGCCCAGGGAGCGGCGAGAAGAGGACCAAACAUUUAGAGGAAGUGAAAGUCGUAACAAGGCUAAAUGGAAGAAGAUGAAUG